rnacentral:rRNA from 1 species
CAACGGGUGGAGCUUGCGGUUAAUGGAUUCAACGCCGGAAUCUUACCGGGACCGACAGCAAUAUGAAGGCCAGGCUGAAGACUUGCCGGAUUAGCUGAGAGGUGGUGCAUGGCCGUCGUCAGUUCGUACUGUGAAGCAUCCUGUUAAGUCAGGCAACGAGCGAGACCCACGCCCACAGUUGCCAGCGUACUCUCUGGAGUGACGGGUACACUGUGGGGACCGCCGCUGCUAAAGCGGAGGAAGGAAUGGGCAACGGUAGGUCAGUAUGGCCCCCGAAUAUCCCGGGCUACACGCGAGCUACAAUGGUUGGUACAAUGGGUAUCUACCCCGAAAGGGGACGGCAAUCUCCUAAACCCAUCCGUAGUUCGGAUUGUGGGCUGCAACUCGCCCACAUGAAGCUGGAAUCUGUAGUAAUCGUGUCUCAAAAUGGCACGGUGAAUAUGUCCCUGCUCCUU